UUUCUCACUCUCCAAGACCUCUAUACAAACAAAUAUUGGAUGUGAAGUUGUUGCAUAACUUGCAUUGAACAAUUAAUAGAAAUAACAGAAAAGUAAAAAAAGAAAUAUGGGUGCUUUCGCUGAGAAGCAAGAGGCUUUGGUGAAUAGCUCAUUCGAAGCAUUCAAGGCAAACAUUCAUCAAUACAAAUAUACAAUGUUGUGUUCUACACCUCGAUACUGGAGAAAGCACCUGCAGCAAAGGACUAGUUCUCAUUUCUAGCUAAUGGAGUAGACCCCCAGUAAUCCUAAGCUCACGGGCCAUGCUGAAAAGCUUUUUGGAUUGCUAAGUAUUAGCUAACUAAAAUUAUAGCUAUUUUAUGUGAUUAAUUUUAAGAUUAAACAUGUACUUAACACUCUUAAAGUAUCAACAAACAUACAUUGAAUUGUUAUUUAUAUUUUUACCAUAUCUCGUACUAGGAAUUGUAUAUAAAGUCCUAUUAAUUAGUAA